rnacentral:misc_RNA from 1 species
CGCACCUUGCGCUCCUUGGUAUUCCGAGGAGCAUGCUUGUUUGAGUGUCAUUAUAACCUCAAUACGCAACUUCUGUAAUGGUUGUUGCUGUAUUGGACUUGGGGAUUUGCUGGUUCUAUUGUUGAAUUGGCUUCCCUCAAAUGCAUUAGCUGGAGUCUGACAAGCAGCGUAUAUGCGGUGUGAUAAUAUCUUCACUGCAUAGCUAAUUGUUGAGUCUGGCUUCUAAUGGUCCAUUUGAAAUGGACACUCUAUGACCAUUUGACCUCAAAUCAAGUAGGACUACCCGCUGAACUUAA